UGGCAAGCGUUGUCCGGAUUUAUUGGGCGUAAAGCGAGCGCAGGCGGAAAGAUAAGUCUGAUGUGAAAGCCUUCGGCUCAACCGGAGAAUUGCAUCAGAAACUGUUGAACUUGAGUGCAGAAGAGGAGAGUGGAACUCCAUGUGUAGCGGUGAAAUGCGUAGAUAUAUGGAAGAACACCAGUGGCGAAAGCGGCUCUCUGGUCUGUAACUGACGCUGAGGUUCGAAAGCGUGGGUAGCAAACA
rnacentral:rRNA from 1 species